GUAAAAGUGGCAAAGCAACCAGCUGCAAUGGCAACUCCAAGGGGAGAAGCCUCAAGAGCAGAGACAUCAGCAGCCAAAAGGGCAUAGGAACGGCCUCUUCAGUGAUGGCAGCUGUGACCAUGGUCAUUACAACAGGACACGGCCGGAGAGUUGAAGUGAGAGGCAGAGCAGAACCAUAGGGAAGAGCGACUGAGGGAAGGUAAAAGAUCCAAGGAUAGAAAGGUAUGGGGAGACAUGGAAGAGAAACCACUACCCCCGACUGUUUUGAGCCGUCCAGAGGCCUGUCACUUCUUCAGGGCCAUGGGUCCCACAGACGCCCAACACAGGAGCUGUAACCCUGGGUGCCAUCAAGAGCUAAAGAAUACCAGUUUCUAUUCCUGAAACCUGUACUGCCAGUUGAAGAAUCCUAACUGCCUUGCCAUACACACGCGCUUGAGAUGCUUACACGGCUAAGUUUCCUAGUACCCGCGGCCUGCACAGGAGUUGAAACACUAGACGGCACCACCUGCCGCUGCCCCUGCCCACCUGCUGCUCUGCUCUCUACUGCUAGUUAUCAAGGCUGUGUUACCUGCACUCUAAGCACUGUCACCAUCUACCCAUGGUUUCUAACUGGUUACAGCCAAAGCACCUUGGCAAAGCUGACCGGUGACAGGACCAAUCCAUGUAGAUAUACCUGCCCAGACAGCAAAGAGGGUUGUCCUUCAAUGGAAGCAUUCAAGACCAGAACAGAAAGUGGUUAGGACAGAAUGCUAUAAAAAGAAGUUUAUCAGGACUGAGAGGUAUGAAGAUCUGUGGAAAGAGGCAUGUCAGAGAAUAAGCCGAAGCGUUCUGUUAUUUUAUAACAUUAGAUCUUCUUCCCUGUCAAACCUGUCACUUGUGUCCUGACUGUGGCUGAGAUGAUGAGAACAAAAUGGAAAUAAAGACAUGGAAUGCAGGCACUGGGAAUUCAAGAAUCAAUUUGAAAGGAAGGAAGAUAAUUGGGAAUUAUGGUGUGAUCAGAGCAAAGCAGAGACAUCCCAGCAAAGGACUGGAAAGGAUCUCAUUGUACUUGUGCUUUCCGAGAGAUGAGGAGAGGACCAACAAUAUAAAUAAUGGAAGCCUCUUUAUGGAAUGGCUGUGCUUAUUUCAAUACGUAGACAGUCCCUGCACCUAAUUUUGCCAGGUGCCAACUGAAGCGAAGGACCACAGUGCUGCUUGGACCUGCUCCUUACUGAGAGAGAACUGAAAAAGCCACCACAGAAUUACUUUCUAAGUGUGAACCCAGCACUUGACAGUUUUCUAAGAACUGAAGAUCCCCUUAAGACUUCUUUCAAUAGAGUGAAGAGAACAAAAUGUUAAGGGAUCCAUUUUCUGUUAACCUGAUGCUCCUGUUGCCACCGGGAGCCAUGCAAAUGCCCAGGGUCUGAACCACCACAAGAGGCCAGGUUAGAGCCCCAGAACAUGCUGCUGCUGGGCCCAUCUGGAUCUAAGAGGUCUGAGCUGCCACCUUGGGCCAUGGUGACAUUUGGCCCAAGCUACUGCUGCUGAUCACAUCUGGGUCCAUGCUUCUGCUGUAGCUGGGUUCUGUAUGAAUGUCCAUUGCCCUUGUUUCCAUGUAUGUAUUGAAGUAAAAGGGCCCUGCUGAACUGGCCCCAUCCCUCACUCACCUGGAAUGACUGUCUGCCCCUCACAGAAGAAUUGAGUAUGCCUCCCACUGGCCCUUGGAUAAUGACCCUGAUGACUCAGGCAAGGGAAAGAUGGCCCCACCCUCUAUUAGGAGAGCUGGACCCCACAUGCAGGAUAGCUUGCACCAUCCCUCACCAUAGGACUUGGGGGGGGAACAGGAGGGGGGAGGAACCCCUCACCUGAAAGGAGUGGUCCCAGUGGCCUGGACUGACCAACUCAGCUGGAACUUGGAGUAGGCACACACCAACAUCUACCCCAUCUAUGACCUUUUGGAGUGUGCAAAAGGACUGGAGUGUAUGAAGAACCAUAGCCACAGGGUUUCUGUGACUUGGGGCAACAGCAGGAUAUCAGAGCUGAAUGUCAGUGGGGGUCCAGUACUGAUGGUAUACCAAAGCCAGAGGCCUUGAACCUGACUGACAACUCAUUCCAGAAUAAACAUUGGCAAGUAUGUUCAAACAAAGCUGUUUGGACAAAAGGGUAUACUGAUUGAUACACAGCAGUCCCCAAAGCCGCUAAAAUGAAUGAAGACACUAUGGAGAAGCAGGAAAGAAGGAGGCAUGAAGUGUUUUUCUUUGUUCUGUUUUUAUUAUUGUUCAUUAUUGUAUUAUUUUUAUUUUUUUAGCUUUCGGUUGGGA